GACGUAGGGCGCGAGCGUUGUCCGGAUUUAUUGGGCGUAAAGAGCUCGUAGGCGGCUUGUUGCGUCAGCUGUGAAAACCCGCAGCUCAACUGUGGGCUUGCAGCUGAUACGGGCAGGCUUGAGUUCGGUAGGGGAGACUGGAAUUCCUGGUGUAGCGGUGAAAUGCGCAGAUAUCAGGAGGAACACUGGUGGCGAAGGCGGGUCUCUGGGCCGAUACUGACGCUGAGGAGCGAAAGCGUGGGGAGCGAACAGG
rnacentral:rRNA from 1 species